rnacentral:rRNA from 1 species
AUGGGGAAGAAGAACACCCACCUGUGCUGUUUCUCGCUGCCGCUGCUUCUGUUCGCCGGGCUGGCAUCCGGCCACCAGGUCCUGUUUCAGGGGUUCAACUGGGAGUCGUGGAAGCAGAGCGGCGGGUGGUACAACAUGAUGAUGGGCAAGGUCGACGACAUCGCCGCGGCCGGAGUCACCCACGUGGCUCCCGCCGCCGUCGCACUCUGUCGCCAGCGAAGGUCCUCCUCCGGUCUCCCCCUCCCUCUUCCUACUAAAUCAUUCGUGCCUCAACAUGUACGCCUCUUUUGGUUUUGUUACAUGCCUGGUCGGCUGUACGACAUCGACGCAUCCAAGUACGGCAACGAGGCGGACCUCAAGUCGUUGAUCGGCGCGCUCCACGGCAAGGGCGUGCAGGCGAUCGCCGACAUCGUCAUCAACCACCGCUGCGCCGACUACAAGGACAGCAGCCGCGGCAUCUACUGCAUCUAUGAGGGCGGCACCUCCGACGGCCGCCUCGACUGGGGUCCCCACAUGAUCUGCCGCGACGACACCACCUACUCCGACGGCACCGCCAACCUCGACACCGGCGCUGACUUCGACCACGCGCCUGACAUCGACCACCUCAAUGAACGCGUCCAAAGGGAGCUCAAGGAGUGGCUCCUCUGGCUCAAGAGCGACCUCGGCUUCGACGCGUGGCGCCUAGACUUCGCCAAGGGCUACUCGCCGGAGAUGGCCAAGGUGUACAUCGACGGCACGUCCCCGAGCCUCGCCGUGGCCGAGCUUUGGGGCGACAUGGUCCCCGGCGGCGACGGCAAGCCCAACUACGACCAGGACGCGCAUCGGCAGAAUCUGGUGAACUGGGUGGACAAGGUGGGCGGCGCUGCGUCUGCGGGCAUGGUGUUCGACUUCACAACCAAAGGGAUACUGAAUGCCGCCGUCGAGGGGGAGCUGUGGCGGCUGAUCGACCCGCAGGGGAAGGCCCCCGGCGUGAUGGGGUGGUGGCCGGCCAAGGCCGUCACCUUCGUCGACAACCACGACACCGGCUCCACCCAGGCCAAAUGGCCAUUCCCCUACGACAAGGUCAUGCAGGGCUACGCGUACAUCCUCACCCAUCCCGCCAUCCCAUGCAUCUUCUACGACCAUUUCUUCAACCUGGGGUUUCAGGAUGAGAUCGCGGCACUGGUGGCGAUCAGGAAGCACAACGGCAUCACAGCGACCAGCGCUCUGAAGAUCCUGAUGCACGAAGGGGACGCCUACGUCGCCAAGAUCGACGGCAAGGUGGUGGUGAAGAUCGGGUCCAGGUAUGACGUUGGGGCCGUGAUCCCGGCCGGAUUCGUGACCUCGGCGCACGGCAACAACUACGCCGUCUGGGAGAAGACCGGCGCCGCGGCGACACUGCAGCGGAGCUGA